UACAGAGGGUGCAAGCGUUAAUCGGAUUUACUGGGCGUAAAGCGAGUGUAGGUGGUUUGCUAAGUCAGAUGUGAAAUCCCAGGGCUCAACCCUGGAACUGCAUUUGAUACUGGCAGGCUAGAGUGUGGUAGAGGAUAGUGGAAUUCCCGGUGUAGCGGUGAAAUGCGUAGAUAUCGGGAGGAACAUCAGUGGCGAAGGCGACUAUCUGGACUAACACUGACACUGAGACUCGAAAGCGUGGGGAGCAAACAGG
rnacentral:rRNA from 1 species